AAUAGGCUUCAGGAUCUAAUCACAAAGAUGCAAUUUUACUUGUUGGUUAUAGCCGUUUUCUAAAGUACAAUUAUUAUGGAAGAUCUUCUAUAUAUAAUAUAUAAGGAAGAUCAACUCCUGCGAGACAAGAGUGAGAAAUCUUUUCCAAGCUUUAUAAGGCCAUCAGAGUCGGAGGAAACGGGUCUUCCCUUCAAAAAUUGAGAGUACCAAUGUGCAGAGAGCUUAGCAUGCCGUUUUAAUUGUGGGUCAUUGAUGUCCACAUAAUAAAGCCCAAAGCAUGGUUCAUAGCCACCCAACAGCUCAAACACAUCUAAGAAGGACCACGUAAAAUACCCUCUUGUAUUUGAUCCAUUCCUAAUAGCAUCAAGUACACUCCCAAUGUAUCCAUGCAUAUACUUGACCCUGGAGGUAUCUUCCAAGGACGAAGUUCGUCGGGUCCGUUGCCCAUUUUCAUGAAUGUAGAUUGGAGGGUUGCCAUAAGCUUGCUUGAAGUAUUCCAGUGAAGCUUGCAUACCCGAUGGUUGUAUCGGAAACUCAUAUUUUGAACUAUCUAUAUCAGCUAUCAUCUCUACUGCCAUAUCUGCUAGAAAAUCUCUGUACUCCGACUUCAGGCUGGCGGAGUUGUCUUUUACAUGUAUUGACAUGUAAUGAUUUAUUCCCAGGAAGUCAAAUGAACCCUUAACUUGUUUGUAUUCUUGAUUCGUGAAGGUUGGUAGUCUUGAGCCUGCGUUUUUCUUUACUAUGUCCGGAUAGCUUCCAAACACCACAGGAUUAGCUAUCAAACCCACAAAAUAGUCAUUGGCUCUUUGAGUUGCAAGCACAUCCUCUGUUGAGUUUGUUAGGGGAUAAGCCGCAAAAGCAUAGAGAUUAAUCCCAACAAAUCCUAGUUGCUUGCUCUGAUACUUUUUCCGGUACAAUCUCACAGCUGAAGCAUGUGCCAAUAAGAGAUGAUGAGCGACCAAGUAUGGUUCAGACGUGGAGUUGCCUUGGGAGCAGUUGAGUCCAAAUGGAAAAGAGCAUCGAUUAGGGGGCAACAUUCCCACAUCAUAACUGAAAAGUGGAAAGACGUUGGGCUCAUUCAAAGUGGUCCAAUACAAAACUCUGUCACCAAACUCUCUGAAACACACAUCUGCAAAAGUUGUGAAGUCCUUCACAAUCUUUCUGCUAAGCCAUCCUCCAUACUCGUCUUCAAGCGCCUGCGGAUGAUCAUAAUGAUAUAUUGUAACAUGUGGCUGGAUGCCAUGGCUGAUAAGUUCAUUGAUGAGGUUGUUGUAAUAUCGUACGGCCUUUGGGUUGACGGGUCCUCUUCCAUUUGGGAUAAGUCUUGGCCAUGAGAUGGAAAAUCUAUAGGCUUCUAAUCCAGCUUCGACCAUGAGUUUGACAUCCUCCUUGUACUUGUGAUAUUCGUCAACUGAUACGUCUCCAGUUUCUCCGUCCAUUUUCCCCUCGUGAGAAAAGGUAUCCCAAAUGCUAGGACUCCUCCCAUCUUCACCUGCUGCCCCUUCCACCUGAUAAGCAGAAGUGCCAGAACCAAAAACAAAUCCAGGAGGAAAGUCCUCUCUGCUAUAUUUAUCAGCACAAAAGACAGCCCCUGCCAAAUUUAGCAAAAUAAUUGGCAGGGAAUAAACCCUUAACAUGAACAUCCUGCCUCACAAGCUUAAUCACUAUGUUAUAGUCCGAAAGAAACAGAGCAAUCCUUCGUUGCUUUCUUCCUA
rnacentral:misc_RNA from 1 species